CUUCCGUGCCAUCCCUCAGGUUCUGCAGGGCACUGGCCACUUCUGCACAGCCAGGCCUUCCCACCCUACCCCCGAGAUUCACACAGCAGGGUCCACUCCCUCCCAGGCUUGGCUUCCCCAGGCUGAGGGCUGGGCAUUGGCACCCUUCCACAGACCACAUGAGUCAGCUCCCUCCCCACCCAACAAGGCCAGUGCUGGCUCUGUCUGAGGUCCCUUUGUUCAGGUCUCUUCUGAAGAAAGGCACCAGAGGCUCCAGCUCUGGCCAUAAUGCCCCAGAUGAAGCUUGACAGGAGAACUGGACACAACAGGCCAGGUUUCCCUAGGAUCACCAGCUGUCAUGGACUGAUUUGUGUCUCUCCAAAUUCAUAUGUUGAAUACUUAACCUGCCAUGCGAUUGUGAUUGGAGAUAAUUCCUUUAGGGAAGCAAUGAAGGUUAAAUGAGGUCAUAGGUGGGAGCUUAAUCCAAUGGGACUGGGGUCCCUACAAGAAGAGGAAGACACCAGAGCUCUCUGUCUCCACACACAGAGAAAAGAGGCUGUAUGAGGACACAAGAGAAGGUAAUAGCUGUCUACAAACCAAGAAGAGAAGCCUCUCCAGAAAAUGAACCCUGCUGGAACUUGGUCUUGGACUUUCCAGCCUCCAGAACUGGGAGAAAAUAAAGUUCAAAAUAAAGUUCUGUUGUGUAAGCCCCCGAGUCCAUGGUAUUUUGUUAUGGCAGCCCUAGCAGACUAAUAACACCUGCUAAUUAAACUGCUUGUUCUCCACUUGUUGUCUCAGGGUCUGUUCCUAGGGAACCUGGACUCAGACAGAUGCUCUGCUUAAUUAGACCCCAGGGAAAUGUAAAUGAAAACCACGUGUGAUGCCAUGUCACAAGUACUAGGAUAACCAGAAGGAAAUCUGACCACAUCGGAUGCUGGUGAGGUUGGGAAGCUGUCAUAUUUAGCUGACGGAGGUGUGAGUCGGCAAACCACUUUGGAAAAC
rnacentral:lncRNA from 10 species